AUUGAACGCUGGCGGCAUGCCUAACACAUGCAAGUCGAACGGCAGCAUGGUCUAGCUUGCUAGACUGAUGGCGAGUGGCGAACGGGUGAGUAACGCGUAGGAAUAUACCUUAAAGAGGGGGAUAACCUGGGAAAACUCAGACUAAUACCGCGUAAUCUCUAAGGAGCAAAGCUGGGGACUUUUCGGAGCCUGGCGCUUUAAGAAUAGCCUGCGUCUGAUUAGCUAGUUGGUGGGGUAAAGGCCUACCAAGGCGACGAUCGGUAGCUGGUCUGAGAGGAUGGUCAGCCACACUGGGACUGAGACACGGCCCAGACUCCUACGGGGGCAGCAGUGGGGAAUAUUGGACAAUGGGGGCAACCCUGAUCCAGCAAUGCCGCGUGUGUGAAGAAGGCCUGAGGGUUGUAAAGCACUUUCAGUGGGGAGGAGGAUUGACAGGUUAAGAGCUAGUUAAUUGGACGUUACCCACAGAAGAAGCACCGGCUAACUCCGUGCCAGCAGCCGCGGUAAUAC
rnacentral:rRNA from 1 species